CUCCUACGGGAGGCAGCAGUGGGGAAUAUUGGACAAUGGGCGAAAGCCUGAUCCAGCCAUGCCGCGUGAGUGACGAAGGUCUUCGGAUUGUAAAGCUCUUUUGGCGGGGAAGAUAAUG
rnacentral:rRNA from 1 species